CCAAUGAAUCAACUGAUUUUUAAUAUAUUUUUUAGGAUGUAAGGUAUUUAUAUGUGACUUUCACAGAGAACAGUCUUGGGACCGUUGGCUAUAAAAGCUAUCAAGUGGUUGCUCUAACAGAAAAGAUGAUAUUUUAUGUAUUUUAAGACGACUCGCUUGGUCAAAGUCAAUUGACGAGGAAGAAAAUGCUCAAAGAAUAUUGGAACAGUCUGAAUUCUGGAGUCAAGAAAGCUUUACUAAGUUUAAACAAUAUAUAGAAAAGUAUUGGCUCCCAAUUAAAUAAAGGUGGGUUUGGUGGUACAGGCAGGAUUGUCUUCUUAUCAAUUGCAAUACAAACAAUGGUGUGGAAAGGCAGAAUGAGUCUUUUAAAUAUACUUAUUUACAGCGACAUAAAAACUCAUCAUUGACUGGAAUGUUAACUUUGCUUAUUGAUGACUUCUUCAUUGAUAAACUUGACAGCUAUACUGAUUCCAGCUUUAAAAUGGAUGCACGUUACAGAAGGUAUGCACGUUGUGUGCCAAGUUAUCU